rnacentral:lncRNA from 1 species
UGGUUAAAUAAGAUGGAUAAUUUCUACUGGAUAAAUUUGUAGGCUAUCAGAACCAACAUCCUUAACAGUAAGACAGUAUUUCAGCAGUGGAAGUAAUUACCAAUGAGUUGCCUCCCAUUUAUUGAACUUGUUCAAACUGAAGCUGGACAGGCAUCUGGGAUGUGCUGAACAAGGAGUAAGUUUAUAGCCUAAAAUGGCAGCUUCUAACUCUGAUUCUAUAAUUAACAGAUUUUCAGGAUGUGACCAACCAGAUGCUGCCAGUACAUCCCUAAGUUGUACAUAAUGACAUGUGGUCAUCGGUAGUAAAUUCCAAAUCAAACUCCUUACUGGAAUUUCUUUGAUGAAGUUUGGCAGCUUUUAAAUCUGGAAAUGUGCAAAGUUGUGUGAGAGCUUUCAGGCCUGAUCGAAUACAGCAAUGGAAGGGAGCACUGCGUGGAUGGGAUGAAUGGCAUUGAUUCACCUGAUUGCCAUUCUCAAUGACCUGAAACACCUAGUCUUGUUAGAGGAUGGAUCAUUUAAAAGCUGUUUAAAGAUACAGGAGUUGCUCCUAAAAAGAUGUAUUUCAUCUGCAUCAGCUAACUGGGCCACUUGAAUCUGUUGAAUGAGAUGUCUGCUUAUAUAUCUGUUCCUUAAAGAAGAGAAGUUCUUUUUGCCUUUGUAAUAAACACAUGACAAUUCAAUGCCUCAUUUUAUAUAUUGUUGUUAUAUUUGGUAUACAUAUGUGUGAGUUUCUAUAUGUUUAGCUAUGGGGAAGGGUUGGGUUAAACCAACGAUAAACAUGCAAUAUCUGAAGUAUCCUCCAUAAUUUAUAAAGAGUUACAUUACCAGUUGAGCCAAAGAGCUUGCUUUACUGAGACUGCCUCAGUCUGAU